rnacentral:rRNA from 1 species
AUGGGCACGCUUCUCCGCCGCGUCCUCCUCUCCCUCGCGCUCCUCGCCGCCGCCGCGACCCCCGGCGCGGCGGCGGCGGCGGCCAGGCUGUCGACGUCGUACUACAGCCGCAGCUGCCCCCGCGUGGAGCAGAUCGUCUCGGACGUGGUCGCCGCCAAGCAGCAGGCCAACCCGUCCACGGCGGCGGGCACGCUGCGCCUCUUCUUCCACGACUGCUUCGUCUCCGGCUGCGACGCCUCCGUCCUCGUCUCCCCGCUCUCCUCCGACCGGACCCCGGAGCGGGCCGCGGAGAUCAACCUCUCCCUCCCGGGGGACGCCUUCGACGCCGUGGCCCGCGCCAAGGCCGCGCUGGAGGCCGCCUGCCCGGGCACCGUCUCCUGCGCCGACAUCCUCGCGCUGGCGGCGCGCGACCUGGUGGGGAUCCUGGGCGGGCCGCGGUUCCCCGUCUUCCUCGGCCGCCGCGACGCGCGCCGCUCCGACGCGCGCGACGUGGAGGGCAACCUCCCGCGCACCAACAUGUCGGCGCGCGCCAUGACGGUCCUGUUCGCGCGCAAGGGCAUCACGCCGCAGGAGAUGGUGGCGCUGGCGGGCGCCCACACCGUGGGCUUCUCCCACUGCUCCGAGUUCGCGCACCGGGUGUACAACUACAAGGGCAAGGGCGGCGGCGCCAGCGGGCACGACCCGUCGCUGAACCCGGAGUUCGCGCGGGCGCUGCAGAGCUCCUGCGCCGGCUACGAGAGCAACCCGGACAUCUCCAUCUUCAACGACAUCGUGACGCCGCGGGACUUCGACGAGCUCUACUUCAAGAACCUACCCCGUGGCCUCGGGCUGCUCGCCUCCGACGCCGCGCUGUGGGAGUACCCGCCCACCAAGGUGUUCGUCCAGCAGUACGCCGACAACCGGACCGCCUUCUUCCAGGACUUCGCCAGGGCGAUGCAGAAGCUGGGCACCGUCGGCGUCAAGACGGGGCGGCAGGGCGUCGUCAGGCGGCAGUGCGACAUCCUCGACUAA